CUGACUGAUGUUCGUCUGCACUGCACAGAGGAAAUCAACUGACCGAGGAGUGUUUCUGAGUGAGGGGGAGAGGAGUCAUCAUCCAGGUAAAGUGACGUGGAUCAGUGGAUACACUUGUCUCCCCUUUAAAGGAGACGAUCCAAGUCAUCCUUAAAUAUGGGCAGUAUAUCAGUCUUGGACUGUCUGACCUGCAGCACUGAAUGACCACCACACAUGAGCAUGUUCCUGCAACAUUCAGCAUCUGAUCCUUCAUCUGUGUGCUGCUG